rnacentral:rRNA from 1 species
UACGUAGGGUCCAAGCGUUGUCCGGAAUUAUUGGGCGUAAAGAGCUCGUAGGCGGUCCGUUAAGUCGGAAGUGAAAUCUCAAGGCUCAACCUUGAAAUCGCUUUCGAUACUGGCGGACUUGAGGCAGGUAGGGGAAGGUGGAAUUCCUGGUGUAGCGGUGAAAUGCGCAGAUAUCAGGAGGAACACCGGUGGCGAAGGCGGCCUUCUGGGCCUGUUCUGACGCUGAGGAGCGAAAGCGUGGGGAGCAAACAGGAUUAGAAACCCCCGUAGUCC